rnacentral:rRNA from 1 species
AUUGAACGCUGGCGGCAUGCCUUACACAUGCAAGUCGAACGGUAACAGGUCUUCGGAUGCUGACGAGUGGCGAACGGGUGAGUAAUACAUCGGAACGUGCCUAGUAGUGGGGGAUAACUACUCGAAAGAGUGGCUAAUACCGCAUGAGAUCUACGGAUGAAAGCAGGGGAUCGCAAGACCUUGUGCUACUAGAGCGGCCGAUGGCAGAUUAGGUAGUUGGUGGGAUAAAAGCUUACCAAGCCGACGAUCUGUAGAUGGUCUGAGAGGACGAUCAGCCACACUGGGACUGAGUCACGGCCCAGACUCCUACGGGAGGAAGCAGUGGGGAAUUUGGGAAAAUGGGCGCAAGCCUGAUCCAGCAAUGCCGCGUGCAGGAUGAAGGCCUUCGGGUUGUAAACUGCUUUUGUACGGAACGAAAAGCCCCGGGUUAAUACCCUGGAGUCAUGACGGUACCGUAAGAAUAAGCACCGGCUAACUACGUGCCAGCAGCCGCAGUAA